ACGCUGCUAUCUCUGCCGUAGGCAACUGUUUGAUCUCUGCUUAUGUGGAGAGUGUGAUUCAGUUGACCUUGAAGGAAGAGAUUUUUGUACUACUACAGCAAAAAUGUAGCUGCUUGAUGCAUCAAAUGCAAUAUUAUCUUGCUCAUAGAUCAAGACAGCAGUUGGACUGUGAAAAGCUCUGGGGAGCAAAAAUGGGUUUUGGAUCUGACUGAUUCAUGUCAAUUCCUGCAUGAAAUACUCAUUUCUUCAGCAGAUAUUCCUGUGCACAAGGAUUGUUCCAUACUUGUGUCAAGGAACUCAAUGAAAGGCUGUAUUCUGUAAGUUUACAGGUUAGUAGAAAGUGCUUUUC